rnacentral:rRNA from 1 species
UAUAAGAGGUAAAGCCUGCCCAGUGACCUCAUUCAACGGCCGCGGUAUCCUAACCGUGCGAAGGUAGCGUAAUCACUUGUUCUUUAAAUGAGGACUAGUAUGAAUGGCAUCACGAGGGUUAUACUGUCUCCUCCCCCUAAUCAGUGAAACUAAUCUCCCCGUGAAGAAGCGGGGAUAAAAAUAUAAGACGAGAAGACCCUAUGGAGCUUUAAACUAAACUACAUUUGCUAACUACAUAAAAAUUUCAGAAAAAUAAAUUUAUUAAAGCACUCUGAUAGUCAGUUUUAGGUUGGGGUGACCGCGGAGUAAAAAACAUCCUCCGCAUUGAACAAGAUUGCUUCUUUAGCCAAAAGUUACGACUUUAAGCAUCAAUAAAUUGACAUUAUUGACCCAAUAUUUUGAUCAACGAACCAAGUUACCCUAGGGAUAACAGCGCAAUCCACUUCAAGAGCUCCUAUCGACAAGUGGGUUUACGACCUCGAUGUUGGAUCAGGGUAUCCCAGUGGUGCAGCCGCUACUAAAGGUUCGUUUGUUCAA